rnacentral:rRNA from 1 species
UACAGAGGUCUCAAGCGUUGUUCGGAAUUACUGGGCGUAAAGGGUGCGUAGGUGGCGCGGAAAGUCAGAUGUGAAAUCCGGGGGCUCAACCCCCGAAUAGCAUCCGAUACUCCUGUGCUAGAGAACUGGAGGGGAGUCUGGAAUUCUCGGUGUAGCAGUGAAAUGCGUAGAUAUCGAGAGGAACACUAGUGGCGAAGGCGAGACUCUGGACAGUUUCUGACACUGAUGCACGAAGGCCAGGGGAGCGAACGGG